GGAGGAGAGCUCAAGCAAGUAACUGUUUUCACUCCAUCUUGGCUUUGCCCCCUAAAUGCUCCUUUGGUGGUCCUUAAUUUUCAAAGAAGACCAAUGACAUUACUAUAUAGGGUACACAGGAUGCCUGAGGAGAAAUUCGCAGGAAGGACUGUGUAGGAGCUUUUGGAAUAGCGGCUCAUGUGAAAGUCAAGUGAUUGGACUUGGGGAGUGUGGAGAAAAAAGAUAUCCAGACCAGGCGUCAUCUCCCAUGACUUCUGUCAUGAUUCCCUGACUCAAGAAGAUAGAAGUUAACAAUGAUGAGAAUCUUGACUGAAGAAAAGGUCAGAAUGUAUUAAAAUUUUGUUUAAAAA